rnacentral:rRNA from 1 species
AUUGAACGCUGGCGGCAUGCUUUACACAUGCAAGUCGAACGGACGCGCGGGCUUCUUCCUGGUCGCGCGUUGGGGACGGGUGAGUAAUACACAGGUACGUGCCCUGCCUAGGGGGAUGGCAUGACGAAAGGCGGCCUAAUAUCGCAUCCGACCAGAUGUUGAAAGCCGGGGUUCUUUGGACCACGCCCGAUUUGAGCGGCCGUAGGCAGAUUAGCUAGUUGGUGGGGUAAAGGCCUACCAAGGCGACGAUCCGUAGCUGGUCUGAGAGGACGACCAGCCACACUGGAACUGAGACACGGCCCAGACUCCUACGGGAGGCAGCAGUGGGGAAUUUUGGACAAUGGGCGAAAGCCUGAUCCAGCAAUGCCGCGUGUGUGAUGAAGGCCUUCGGGUUGUAAAGCACUUUUAGCGGGAAAGAAAAGGACUGUGCCAAUACCACGGUGCGAUGACGGUACCCGCAGAAUAAGCACCGGCUAACUACGUG